ensembl:lncRNA
CAACUUUGUCUUCUCUGUGCCUGAGCUCACACUUCUCCCCAGGUACAUGAAACAUUAUGUGCCUGUCGCCUCACUGGAGAACAAGCCUACACCGGAGAGCUAUAACCCUGGACAGGAGCUCAUAUGCUAUGUAUCUAAAUACAUUCCACGGUCAAAGUCUCUUGAGGUUGCGGUGUCUCCGACCCUCUUUGGAUACGUGGAGCUGAUGGAUAUGAUCACUAAAACGCAGAGUGAGUAAAACAGUUCUUACUAGAUUAGGACUCAAACUGUGCUGAUUAUAAACUACAGCUCACAUUUACUGCUAGUUGCUGAUGGUAGACAAAGGACCUUUAACUGCAGUAAUAAAAGUAGAAUUACGCAUAGUACACACAGUUUCCA